GUUAAAAAGCUCGUAGUUGGAUUUCUGCAUGGAAGGAGCGGUCCACCCAUUGGGCGCGUACGGCUACCUUUGAUGCAUCUUUCUGAGGACGUGUUCUUCACUUAAUUGUGAGGGCGCAGAACUCAGGACAUUUACUUUGAGGAAAUGAGAGUGUUUCAAGCAGGCAAAUGCCUUGAAUACGUUAGCAUGGAAUAAUAGCAUCGGACCAUCGUCCAGCUGUUGGUGUCUGGGCGAAGGUAAAGGUGAAUAGGGAUUGUUGGGGGCAUUCGUAUUUAACUGUCAGAGGUGAAAUUCUUGGAUUUGUUGAAGACGGACCACUGCGAAAGCAUCUGCCAAAGAUGUUCUCAUUGAUCAAGAACGAAAGUUAGGUGAUCGAAGACGAUCAGAUACCGUCCUAGUCUUAACCAUAAACUAUGCCGACUGGAGAUAGGAAGCGUUUAUCUUACGACUCUUUCUGCAUCUUGAGAGAAAUCAAAGUCUUUGGGUUCCGGGGGGAGUAUGGUCGCAAGGCUGAAACUUAAAGGAAUUGACGGAAGGGCACCACCAGGAGUGGAGCCUGCGGCUUAAUUUGACUCAACACGGGGAAACUUACCAGGUCCGGACAUAGGUAGGAUUGACAGACUGAGAGCUCUUUCUUGAUUCUAUGGGUGGUGGUGCAUGGCCGUUCUUAGUUGGUGGAGUGAUUUGUCUGGUUAAUUCCGUUAACGAA
rnacentral:rRNA from 1 species